UUUGAAGUGAGGCAUACUUCCCCGCCCCCCGACGCCCCUCGCGAUGUCCCUCCUUCUUCAACUAACCCUGUCCAGAGGAGCCGUGAGAGCCAGGAACUUAGCAGUCUGAUGAAGAGGCCUGACAGAUGAAAUAACUGAUCUUGCCUCUGCUGAGCCUCUGAGUUGGGACUCUUCUCCUGCUGUAAGAUGAAAGCGGAAGAAUCAUUUCUUCUGAGAAUUCAGACAUGUCCCCCCAACAAUGCCCAGGACAAGUCCCAGGAGGCUGGCUCACCUCCAUAUCCUCCAAGUACCAAAUUUGAAUUCUCCUUUGAGAAGGGUCUUAUGGCACAUUUGCAAAAUGUGUCAGAAUGGCUGAGAAAAAGGCUGUAGCCAUUAAAAUAAUGAAACAUGAGAACCCAAAGACCCAUUGGAAAACCAAGAGCUCACUGCCAUGUGAAAACGUUUCGCCUGUAACUCCAACAAACCAAAUAUAUUCUUGAGUUUGAAUAUCUUUAAAAAAGUCUUUUUGACUUCAUGAAAGGAAUACAUUUCAAACCGCUCAAUUAAAAGGCAAUUCGUCCCAUCGUCGUGCAGACUGGAAUAGUGCUUAAUCACCUCAAGUCUCUUGGAACAAUACACGCAGACCUGAAAUUGUAAAAUGUAAUGUUGGUGAAAUAUCACCAAGAGCCGUACUGAAUUAAAAUAAUUGACUUUGGCCUGGCCUGUGACACCUCAGCUGCCAAAGUGGGGCUCUUACAUUCAGACCUGUCCGUACUGGUCUCCGGAGAUUAUUCUGGGGCUUCCAUCUACAAAAGCCAUAGAUGUAUGGUCCCUGGGCUGCGUGGCUGUGAGUCUGUACACUGGUUCCUUGCUGUACCCUGGGUACAGUGAGUAUGCAAUGCUGAGAUACAUGAUGGAGACUCAAGGACAACCCCCAAAGAAAAUUUCAGACUGUCUUUUCAGACAUCUGAACUGUAUUUCCAAGAGUCUGGGAUUCAGUUUGUGGAGAAAAGAUGAAUAAAUCUCUGGAUGACCUCUUACAUCGUUAAGUCCUGCACAUUAACAGCUUUAAAAUAAAGAAGACAGGGAUGUCAGAUAGCGGGACAGAAGGGUGUGGGUCUCUGCACCAGCCCACCUCUGACACCAGACAACCUGCCCAACAGAACUCCCACCCUUGGCCUCCACCCUUCUUCUCAGAGGAGCAGCCUGAACCUCAUCAGGCCCAGUCACUAUAAAACUGCUCACACAUUUCCAAUAUUUCCAGUCAAAUCACACUUUAAAAGAAAACAUCUGGAAGAAGAUAAAAAGGAUACGAGUGAUCCAGAUCUUAAAAAAAAAAAAGAAAAAGAAGAAGGACUGAUUGGAAAGACAUGACCAGAAAAAUACCGUACCAACAUAAAAGGUCAGAUCAUGACCAGAAGAAAUGCCAUCAUUCUGCGGGUUCAUCUUGCUCAACCAGUGGCUACAGGACACAGAAUUCCAUCUUGGCGAGUAAGAGGAAGCCAGACCAAAACUGCUUUGACAGGUCAAAUGCAAGGGCCAAACUACGAAGAUGGCAAGAGCCACAUGUCCGUUAACACCUUCAAUCACAGUCGGGCUGGGGACCACCGCCGCAGAGAAGCAAAAGAAGGGCAAGCAGAGUAACACUUGAUUUUUCUUACAUGACGUGAGUGCCUCACUUAAUCUUACUUAAACAAAUUUAAAACUUUUGGCUAUUGAAAAACAUAGACUGUUAAAAUUCAUCUCAGCAGUAAUGAGGCCACUAAAACUGAAUCAGUGUGUAAUGUCACUAACAUUGUCAGACUAUAGGUUUCCCUGGUCCCUUUCUCAAUCUUGUAUUUCAGUGAUUCCACCACUCCAUAUCAUUAAUGUCUGUCUUCUCUUUCCAGUAGUUAUUUCUCAUCUCUAUACUCUCCUUUCUCUAUGCUUUCACUUGAUUGUCGGGGAUUUCUCCACCUUAUGGAGGGUUUUCAGCUUACAGUAUAAAGUUCCUUCAGGCGAGUUUUGUUGUGA